UCUGCUGCUUCUUCCCCGGGGGAUCCUGGCCAAGGCCCCUUUCUAGUCCGAUUAUUUCCUGAUCGAUAAAAUCGGAGAGGACUGGGGAGACUACUGGGAGAAGACAAUCUGUAACCAAGCUGGAGGGGUGGAGAAGGUGGCCAAACUCCCUCUUACAAUCAUCACUUGGACAUGAUGAGGAAACUGAGGUUCAGAGAAGUCCCUUGUCUGACUCUGGAUCACAUAGAGAGAGUUGGGAGAUACCUAAGAGAUGAUGUGAUCCAACCCUUCCCUGAUUUUACAGAUGAGGAAACUGAGGCCCAGGAAAGCUAGAAACUGAGGAGCUUGGGACAAUCUGGACGGAUUUGGGUCCCUACUUCUGACUGUCCAGCUCUGGGUGACGCCGGGCAGGUUUCUGGGGCUGAGCUCUUAUCACUGAGACUUGGCUGGCAUCUGAAUUCUUUGUCUUCAUAUACCUGGCAAGCUUCCAGAUGCCCCCAAAUACCCAGAGUACAACUGCAAUCAAUCGCUCCCCUUUCCAGCCUCCCCUGCAACAGAAAGAGGUCUCGUGCCCAAGGCCGGCCCUGCUGGGCCCCACUCUCCAGACACGGUGCCCUCCCGGCUCCUGAGCUCUUGCUUCGGCCUGGAAUAGCCUUCUUCCUCCUACUCCCCAUUUUUCAGAGCCUUGUUCAAGCUCUGCUUCCCCUAGGAAGCCUUCCCUGACUAUUCUCCCAGUCCUCAUGUGUCUCAUUUCCCUCCAUACUCUCUGGCCAUCUCCUCCUUAUCCACCAUCUUGCCACUUUGGGGAAGCUUUUGCCCUGGGUCCCAUCAUGCUUUCCUGAUUGGUGAUGGCCUUGCCUACCUAGGCUACUAUUAUAUUAAGCCUUAUGGCCCUGCUAUCCAGCUCUCUCCUUGCCGACUGCCUCCCUGAGAACUGAGAGCCCUCCUAGCCCUGACAUUCCCUGUUCUAAGGCCCCUCCCUGCUCUGACACUCCAUGUCCUAAGGCCCCUCCUACCUCUGACAUUUCCUGUUCUAAGGCCCUUCCCCAUCUGGUAUCCUGUGAGUUCUAGAGCGGGAAGACAGGUGAAGAUGAAGAUGGCCAAGGUGACAGGUUCCCCUUCCAGUUCUAAGAUUUUUCUGGAAGCCAGGAGCUGCCCAGAAGCCCCUCUGGAGGAGUGCCUUGGUCUCCAAGACUGCCUGUCACCUCCUGUAGUCCCA